GGGCGCAAGCCUGAUGCAGCCAUGCCGCGUGUGUGAAGAAGGCCUUCGGGUUGUAAAGCACUUUCAGUCGUGAGGAAGGUAGUGUAGUUAAUAGCUGCAUUAUUUGACGUUAGCGACAGAAGAAGCACCGGCUAACUCCGUGCCAGCAGCCGCGGUAAUACGGAGGGUGCGAGCGUUAAUACGGAGGGUGCGAGCGUUAAUCGGAAUUACUGGGCGUAAAGCGCAUGCAGGUGGUUUGUUAAGUCAGAUGUGAAAGCCCGGGGCUCAACCUCGGAAUUGCAUUUGAAACUGGCAGACUAGAGUACUGUAGAGGGGGGUAGAAUUCAGGUGUAGCGGUGAAAUGCGUAGAGAUCUGAAGGAAUACCGGUGGCGAAGGCG
rnacentral:rRNA from 1 species